GGGAGGAGGAAGAGAGAGAAAGUGAGAUUGGUUUGCCUGCGGACUCACUUGGCAGGAAUCGUUUGACUGAAUGUGUCGUAUAUGACUGUGCAAAACACGCACGCGCGCACACACACACACACACACACACACACACACAGAGGCAGUGAGUGAAAGUAACAGGAGAGGCUGCUUGGGAUCACUCUGUUGUGGAAAGUAGAGCAGCAAGGUUCCUUCGCAGGAACUUAUUGGAUUCUCUCAGUUGCUGUUGGAUGGUGAAUGAAGUCAGGAGAUGUCUGCGUGACAUGCGACUGUAUUGGUGGUCCCGGGGCAGGUGCUUUCUGGGUCACGGGGCGGUUGGAGCUUUGGAGGGAUGCCUGUAUGUCCUUAAAUGCAGUAAGACCUGUGAAAGAGGCUGUCGGGGUGAACGAACGCUGCCUAGGGCACGUUAUCCAAGUUAGGAACUGCAGAGAAAUGUACAACACCUGGUUUUCUAAUUGGAUCUUCUGGUAAGUUGCACUAUCAGUGAUUACAAUCGACAUAACUGAUAAGACCAGUGUUUUAGGGAUGGGUUUAUGACCAGGUUCACAUGAAGUCUCUGCCCACAGAAUGUUAUUUACGUAGAAUUGUGACGUCUGUUAAGACAGAAGUAUUCAAAUAUUUUGACCCCCAAAUAUGAAACAUAUUUUUGAAAGGUUUAAACAAAGACUAUUUUGUACUAUGUGAGAAAAAGAGAU
rnacentral:lncRNA from 1 species